AUAGAAGCGAUGAAAAAGAAGAGUACAUCUGUUUAUGGCUUUUCAGAGAGUUUGUGGCUGGUGGAAACAAACAUGCCUGCAGGUGGAAUGGGCUUUCGAGCUCCGGAGAUGAACGGGCGGCCGCCUCAUUAGUUUCCGGCGUACGCCUUGCGUUAACCAGGCUCCAAUUGGCAUUGGAACUAAGCGGCCCGUAUUGCCGGGCACUUAGGGUGGCACCGCGGAUUUAUCCCAUUCGUCCCUAAU
rnacentral:ncRNA from 1 species